AAAUUAGGGGCGUUUGGGGCGUUUUCGCUCGCGCCUAUCGCGUUCGGUGUGAACACACUGUAACGGUGCGCACACACCGAACGCGAUAGAGGCGGCCAGAGCGUCAGGUGUACAUGUAAAGUCAAUGGAAAGAGCGCGAUGACACGCGAUUGCGCAUCCGCUAUGGCAAGCCAUUAGUGCCAAAAUUCGCCACGUUUCUAACCCGUUUGAUUAAGAAACGGCGUAAAAAACGCCGUUUAAUUUUUCAAAACGCCGAAAAAAGCGGCGUUCAAAGACAGACGAAAACGCCGUUUUUUCCGCCACUCGGCAGGAAACGCCGUUCAUAGAUGCAUAAAAACGGCGUUUUUUACGGCGUUCUGUGCUAGCUGUAACGGCGUUUAAAACGGCGUUUUAUUGAAAUUAUGCAGGGCACUCCCCAUGGUUCCCUCAUCCAAUUACUUUCAACUCAUUUCACCCAAUCAAAGAAGAGGAAGUGCAGACCACACUAAUGCAUCACCGAUUCACCUUGCUGCUAAGUGAUUGCCUAUUCGGUAUCAGUGCUUGUCACAGUAUUGACUUGUAUUAUAAUCCCACUAUGCAUUUUGAUGUGUUUAAGGCAUGAUCAAGCAAACAAAUGACAGAAUACUUUUGCUGAAACCUUAACUGUGUUACCUGUUAUGGCAGCUAACAGACACUCGGCGCAUGGCUCCUUUGUUUACGUUAGGGAUCAGCUGUUAGCGCUGCGCCCUGCAGCUGCGCUACCGGCAGACAGACCCUACGUCCCCAGUGAGGGAAGAGACGGGGGUGAUGUCUCCCGAUAAGGACACCUUACACACCAUCUCUCCUUCCUGUAAUCACUGUAAAUGUGAGAUCGCUCCCUGAUAUGAUUGAGGAGCUAAUGACGCUAACCCGGUCACAGUGGCAGUACCCCGACACUGCCCGGUACUCCCUCUGUGAGUAGGCUGCCCGGCUUCCAGCUGCUGCGGCCGGACAAGACGAGAGACAGCGGUGAGAGGAAAGGAGGGGGACUGGGCAGUGUUUGUUAAAGACCACUGUGGGACCUCUGGGCACAUUGCUGUGAAAGAACAACUCUGCAACAGAAACAUUGAGCUAUUAGCCGUUAGUAUCCGUGGAGGCAGCCUGUGACUCUCUGUGGUCCGCAGACUGCAGACGCAAUCUCCGACUGCUCUUCUUCUAAUAUCAGGGGACUUUAAUCAUGUCUCGCUGGACUCCACACUGCCCACCUUCACCCAGUAUGUGACCUGCCCCACCGUAGGCAAUAAAACAUUGUACUUAAUGUAUGCCAAUGAAAAAGUGGCAUACAGUUCAUCACCUCUAGCUGCCCAGGGAAGAUCUGAUCGUAAUUAGUGCGCCUUGUCCCUGUGUGCAGCACUUGUGCACGGACCCACUAAUCACCCACGCAGUGCAGAGAUGGUCCGCGGAGGGCAUAUAAAUAAAUAAUAAAAGCAAAUAAAUGACAGAAUGCUUUUUCUGAAACAAACGGAGACCUUAACUUUUAUCAAAAUACCGUUUUACUCAGUUUAAAGUAAUACCACUGUAUAAUAGCCUUCAAAUUUAAUAAUGUUAACAGCAUCUCAGGAAUAUUUUUGCCCCAUCAACAUGCAUUAAAAAUAGAUAUGCAGUUUUGAAUCAGACCUGUAUGUACGUUUUCUGAAAAAGUGUAAAUAAAUAAUCUCAAGAACAUGAAAUAAUUGUUUCCCAUGUAAACUGGAGUUGUCCUUGUCAAUGUCAUCAGAGUACUCUGGAUGUCUUGCAUGAAUUUGAAACAGAGAGUGGCACAUGACAGCGUUGCACAUAACAUAACUAGUUUACCUGUAUGACAUGAAGUAAUUAAAAAAAAGAAUCCAUGUAACUUGGUUAUGGCUUCUUUCUGAUAACUGUAGAUACAAAUGGGCUGCAGUGUGCAUUAUCUUGACAAAAGUAUAAGAUACUGAACCCGCUGAUAUGAUGUGGUGGAGGAAUACAAAUACCUGGACACCCACAUUUAUACAUUUGCUGACCUGGAAGAUCAAAACAGAGGCUGUACACAAGCAGUGGAUGGGCAGGCGGGUUUUUGAGAAC
ensembl:lncRNA